GCUCAUGGCGCCAGGCAUGGGAGGCCGAGUCCCCAGUGGCGAGCACUGGCCCGACUCGGCCGGGAGGACUGCCGGGACUCCAGAGUCCGCGAGAAGCCUCCCUGGCGGGUGCUCUUCUUCGGCACAGACCAGUUCGCCCGCGAGGCGCUGCGGGCGCUGCACGCCGCCAGGGAAAACAAAGAGGAAGAGUUAAUCGACAAACUGGAGGUGGUCACAAUGCCUUCCCCAUCACCAAAAGGACUGCCAGUGAAGCAAUAUGCUGUGCAGUCUCAGCUUCCCGUAUACGAGUGGCCGGACAUUGGAUCUGGAGAAUAUGAUGUUGGAGUAGUGGCUUCAUUUGGCCGACUUUUGAAUGAGGCUCUUAUUCUUAAAUUUCCCUAUGGCAUAUUGAAUGUUCAUCCCAGUUGCCUCCCGAGAUGGCGUGGCCCAGCCCCUGUAAUCCAUACAGUGCUUCACGGAGACACAGUUACUGGAGUAACAAUUAUGCAAAUUAGACCUAAAAGCUCAUUUCAGUUUUGAAAAAUUUGCCUGAAAGUCUGAGCAAUGGAAGGCAGCAGCCAAUGGAGGGGGCGACUUACGCCCCUAAGAUUUCUGCUGGUACCAGUUGUAUAAAAUGGGAGGAACAAACUUCAGAACAAAUAUUCAGACUUUACCGUGCCAUUGGAAAUAUAGUAAGUUGGGAAGUCAUGUUGCAGUUCUACCUAGUUGGUUUUCUAUGUGUGUAAUUUGCUUUCUAAAUAUUUUUAUUUAGGAAUAAUCCCAAAUAAAAGUAUCCCAAAUAAAAGGUUGAUCUUAGGAACAAAACCUAGGAAACCUGAAAUUUAUUCUUAAAAAUUCUUUAAACUGUUUAAA
rnacentral:sRNA from 1 species